AACUGAUCCCCCACCUCCUAUAAAACUGUUUGAAUCAGAGACCACCCCUAGAACCCCUCUCAUUUCGUAUCUAUACGCUCUCACAAGAAACUUUAGUCGCCCUAGGAUUCCCUCGCCAGCUCCGCCUUUCUUUGCCGCCUGGAAAUUGUCCUACGGCGGUUGAACAUCACCAAACCACCCCAAAAUUCACCCUCUAUAAUCCUCAGCCUCCCCCUUUACACUAUCCCACUAUCAAUUUCCUCUAAAUCACCACCCAAAUCCGUCAAUUUCAGAUCUGAAAAUUUAAACCCAAAAAUCCUAAGUCGCCCAAACAACCCCAAACUCACACCAUAGGAUCUUCAACCUCCCCUCAACACUAUCCUACCCUUGAUUUCCAAAAAAUUCCCGCCAAAUUCUUCGAAUCCUAAAUCUACGAAGGACCAGAAACCCUUGUUCUAUUUUUCCUUUCUUUUUCGAGUUUCUUCGGAUUGCUUCCAGACUCGACUUAGUUGAAAACCCAUGCUAAUCAAUUUCCCAAUAAGAACGGUUGGUUAGCAUAUUGUUUUAGCUAUAUCGAAGGAUUUUCGACUUGGCAGACCCCUCUUGGUAUUUUUUUACCUUUUCCUUGUUUCUUUAUUGUAUUUCCCUAAUUUCCGGAUGUGUAUAAUCAAAAGUUAAUUUAGCUCGUUUCUAUAUAUGUUAUUUUGUUUACUGUUUGGAUAGUAUUAAAAUGAUUUGAAGCAUGUUAAAUGUUAGAAAAAUUAGUUCAGUUGUUAGUUUGCUUGAUUUAAUCAAUUGUAAAUUAAUUAAGUUAAUUAUUAGGUUUUCAUUAUCUCUUUGUUGUCCUUGUUUCUGCCAUGUUUUUGUUUAUACCGAGUUCCUGUUUAGGGUUAAUUAGAUGAGUAAUUUUAUUUACUGAUUAGGUUAGUAUUUAGGUUUAAAUUGCACAAUAUCGAUUUUGUUUGUCAUUUUUUGAUUUGGAUUCUGAUUCCUUUUCAGCUUUGCCUCUGUUUUCCAUGAGUUGUGAAUUAUUACAAACUUGUAGGGUCCUAAUUGAACCUAAUAGAAACUUAAGAGGACAUUAGGAACUUUAGAAAAUAAAUAUCUAGAAGAAGGAAGGUUCUAGAAGGGACAACUCUCUAGAAUUUGUUAAAAAGAUGCUGAAAACUGGACAAUUAUCUAUUAUUCUAUGUCAAAAUAUGUUGUACUAUCUAAGAAAUUUAGGGUAGAAUAUUCUUUUGAUGCUAUUUUGAAUAUACUCUAUAAAGAAAAUCUAUUCACCCAUUCUCAUAGACUCGUACAUCAACAUCUGCACCUGAAAAAGCUCUGGAAACAAAAGAGAAAAAUUCCCUGAAUAUUAUGGCUAAAACAUCAGUCUUCUAGUUAGAGUUCUGGGAUGAUUUUCUCAGAAUACUUUCAUUUUUUUUGAGAAAUCUAAGGGCUGGUUCUUUAUAUUCCUGGGUUGAUACCCUACUGUUGCUGUUUGGGUUUUGUUUGUUACUCCAUCUUUAAAUUUUAGUCAGUUGUUCACUUGUUUUGUGGCUACUUUUUGCUGUUUAAGGGAUCUAUUUUUCAUAUUCUGGUCCAUUGUGCUGCAAUCAGGUAUUUACCUUAAAUCUAAGAUUUAGUUUUGGCAUGAAUAAGUUGAUUGCUUUACUUGUUCUAUCAAGUCUUGAUCCUCUCUCAUCAUGUGUUUAUUUCUUUACAUUUAGCAUGUUAAUUAGUAAACCUUGGUUCAGUUAAACUCACGAGUGUUUCUUCUGCCAUGCGAUGUUUUGACAUGAAAAGAGCAAGAGUCCAUGGCUCUACUAUAUGAUUAUUUGAACUGGUGUGUCUAUUGUAUAACUAUGAGUCUAUUUCUGAGCUAUACUUAUUCUGAACUUUGAUUGCUGAGUUAUCUUUCUUCAUUAUUUCUUCCUGCUUUGCUGUUUAGUUAAUAAUACACUAUUAAAUGAAUUUCCCAUAAAUAAUGAAACCUGCAUUUUUAUUUUUUCUGUUUAUAUGUGAGUCUCCCCAAGAGUAAGGUGGGAAGUUCUUGUAGGGAAGGAUGCCAGGGGUCUAUUUGGAAACAGCCUCUCUACCCAAAGGUAGGGGUAAGAUCUACGUACAUACUACCCUCCCCAGACCCUACGAAGUGGGAUUAUACUGGGUUGUUGUUGUUAUUGUUGUUGUUGUAUGUGAGUGGCAAUAAGGCAAGGAAACCUCAAAGCUGAAAUUGAAUGUUGGCUUAUAAGAAACAACUCUAUAGUUGAUUCUUGCAAGCUGAAGCUUGUUUAAAAGGCUUUGCAGCAGUUGAAGGGCUCGAAGAUAUGAAGAAUGUUACCUUUCAUCUCAAAAAAAUUCUUUAUUUUCCUUUAGAUACAUAGUUGUAUUAACGAGCAUGUUGUAAAUUUACGGAGUGUCAGCAGUAAAUGGACUGUUAGAAUAUUUUAAUUUCGAGUUUGAUCAUGUUUGAUUAAUAGUUUAUGUUCAUAAUAGCAUAAUUUCUUUGUUAUAGCACAUCCUAUUAUCACAAAAGUGCCUAAAUGUAGGUUAUACGAGUUGGUCCAGACUUGCAACAAGGCCCAAUCUGGGAAUCACCUGAGCAAGUCUGGGUCAGGAAGAUGGAACUAGGUACUGGACCCUAAUAAUUUGAUCCUAGAUAUGGGCUUACUUCUUUGAACUCUAAUCUAAAAACUCACUUUUGUAUUGGAAAUUACAUGUAGCAUUAUUAACUUUAAGAUUUGAAUCAUUGUUUUGGAUUUUUACCUCUAAAUAAACUAAAGUCUAGCUUUUAGACAAAUGUGUAUUUCGGUUGUUUUAUUGGUACUAAAUACAAUUUUCGUGAUAGGCCCGAUCGUUUAAAUGUAGCGCGACUAGGCCAGCCUUGAUCGAAUAGCCAUUUGGGAUUUUUCAUCUUAUAUUUUGGGCUGGAAAGCCAAGGCCCACGUAAGGCCAGUUUUAUUAUGAGUUAAAAGGUUAUAGUCAUUUAUUUCCUAUUUAUUAUGGUUCUAUCAAUUAGAAAUCAAGUUAGCCUAUCAAAAUGAAUUUGAAUAAGGGAAAUUUAGUGGGCUCAGCUAGUGCUGCUGGGCGAACUUCACAAAUGUCGGCUUUAACUAAUGAAUUCCUAGUAAUUAAGUACAAUCUUUUGAAAUAAAUUGAGAUGCGCCAUCCACAAAUGAAUUUCAUAAUCUAUUGUCCUCACAUUAAUACCGAAACUAGUGUAGAAAAUACUUUGAACAUUCAUAACUAGUGUAGACAAUACUUUGAAUAUUCAUAGUUUGCUUUGGAUACGUUAUCAAUAAAUCAUCGUGAAUAUAUGUAUGAAUCCCUUGGCAUAGUCAUGAUACAUAAUCUC
rnacentral:lncRNA from 1 species